UGGCGGACGGGUGAGUAAUGUCUGGGAAACUGCCUGAUGGAGGGGGAUAACUACUGGAAACGGUGGCUAAUACCGCAUAACGUCGCAAGACCAAAGAGGGGGACCUUCGGGCCUCUUGCCAUCAGAUGUGCCCAGAUGGGAUUAGCUUGUUGGUGAGGUAACGGCUCACCAAGGCGACGAUCCCUAGCUGGUCUGAGAGGAUGACCAGCCACACUGGAACUGAGACACGGUCCAGACUCCUACGGGAGGCAGCAGUGGGGAAUAUUGCACAAUGGGCGCAAGCCUGAUGCAGCCAUGCCGCGUGUAUGAAGAAGGCCUUCGGGUUGUAAAGUACUU
rnacentral:rRNA from 1 species